rnacentral:rRNA from 1 species
CCUACGGGGGGCAGCAGUGAGGAAUAUUGGUCAAUGGACGAGAGUCUGAACCAGCCAAGCAGCGUGAAGGAUGACUGCCCUAUGGGUUGUAAACUUCUUUUAUAAGGGAAUAAAACGAGGCACGUGUGCCGUUUUGCAUGUACUUUAUGAAUAAGGAACGGCUAACUACGUGCCAGCAGCCGCGGUAAUACGGAGGAUCCGAGCGUUAUCCGGAUUUAUUGGGUUUAAAGGGAGCGUAGAUGGGUUGUUAAGUCAGUUGUGAAAGUUUGCGGCUCAACCGGAAAAUUGCAAUUGAUACUGGCAGUCUUGAGUACAGUUGAGGUAGGCGGAAUUCGUGGUGUAGCGGUGAAAUGCUUAGAUAUCACGAAGAACCCCGAUUGCGAAGGCAGCUUACUAAACUGUGACUGACAUUGAUGCUCGAAAGUGUGGGUAUCAAACAGGAUUAGAUACCCUAGUAGUC